rnacentral:rRNA from 1 species
GAUGAACGCUGGCGGCGUGCCUAAUACAUGCAAGUCGAGCGAACAGACGAGGAGCUUGCUCCUCUGACGUUAGCGGCGGACGGGUGAGUAACACGUGGAUAACCUACCUAUAAGACUGGGAUAACUUCGGGAAACCGGAGCUAAUACCGGAUAAUAUAUUGAACCGCAUGGUUCAAUAGUGAAAGACGGUUUUGCUGUCACUUAUAGAUGGAUCCGCGCCGCAUUAGCUAGUUGGUAAGGUAACGGCUUACCAAGGCAACGAUGCGUAGCCGACCUGAGAGGGUGAUCGGCCACACUGGAACUGAGACACGGUCCAGACUCCUACGGGAGGCGGCAGUAGGGAAUCUUCCGCAAUGGGCGAAAGCUUGACGGAGCAACGCCGCGUGAGUGAUGAAGGUCUUCGGAUCGUAAAACUCUGUUAUUAGGGAAGAACAGAUGUGUAAGUAACUAUGCACGUCUUGACGGUACCUAAUCAGAAAGCCACGGCUAACUACGUG